CCCCCACCAAAAUCAAGCACUAGAGCUACCUACGUGGUUCAGAUUGUCGAGAGAGUAGCAGCGUGCAGGUGCAGUCUGUUCACUUCCACCAACAUGGCCAACUUCGCCGCCCAGCUCAAGGAUAGGUUUUUCGGCCUCGUCGACCGCGUCGCCGGCUGCGGCCGCCCCGGGGUCAAGGAGGAGGCCCCCAAGUCGGCGCCGGCGCCGGCCGUGCAGGAGCACGUCGAGAUUCGACCGAGAGGCCCAAGUGUGUCGGGAGGAUCAGAGGCAGGAGUCAAUUAGACACUGCGGGUGCUACAUAUUUUUUUCCCUUAAAUUAGUAGCAUUAGAUUCAUGAUAAAAUAUGUUUUUAUUAUAUAUUUAUUUGGUUUCACAAACAUUGUCAUAUUUUUGCACAAACUCAGUCAAAUUUUGAGAUAGUUUGACCCCUCAAGAAUGUUGAAAAUGUUCUUUCAAGAACGAAGGGAGUAUGCCAUAAGCCAGUGUAUUCGUAGUACGUCUUCUUCGUCUGAGGUCUAAGAGGUAAUCUGUAUUUCACUAGCAGGAAGAAUGAAAGCCAACCGGUGAAGUGCAUCAGCUCGCCCGCUGACGCUCCCGCGGCCCCAGCCGGGGAGCCCUCCGCUGCGUAAGCACCGGAGCCUAGCACCUCCGACUGAGACAGUCGGUGAGCUCGGCCGGCGGACAGAGAUGAGAUGGGUCUAGAGCAAUUCUUUGGAAUGAUCGAUCCGUCCGUCGGGAGAUGAUGAACCGGAGCCGGAGCCGGAGCCGGAGCCGUCUCUUUCACUCGCUUGUAAUAACGCGUACGUGCUGAUCUAUGUGUCCCGCCGCCCGCUCGAUCCAAAGCUUUCUCUUCUUUUUAUCAUGCCACUGUUUUUAGGGGACCAUUAAUUCCCUAAUUGUUCGAUGAGAUCAAUUUUCUCUUUCUUUUGCCAAUGUCGUGUAAUCAGUUGGCUCUCAACAUAAGCAAGAUUUGUUCUCAUCGAUCUUCA